UUAUACGUGCUCCUUGGUCCCUGGAAAUCUGCAAGAAUAAAGACCACAGAAAGACCAGCAAGUAAUAUAAAAUAACGACAUCAUCUUUCCAAAAUUAUCUAUUAACUGUCCUCAACUGAACAAAGGAAGUCAACUGUUAGGUGCUUAUAAAGACCAACAUCAGGAAAAUCCUCAACAUCCUUCUCUGUUCCCUCCUUCCCCCCAGCUCCACACAGGUAGAGUUAUAGACAGUGAGAAAGAGAGACAGAGAGAAAGGUCUUCCUUCUGCUGGUUCACUCUCCAAAUGGCCGCUAUGGCCGGUGCUGCGCCGAUCAGAAGCUGGGAACCAGGUGCUUCUUCCUGGUCUCCCAUGAGGGGGCAGGAGCCCAAACACUCGAGCCAUCCUCCACUGCCUUCCUGGGUCACAGCAGAGAGCUGGACUGGAAGAGGAACAACCGGGACUAGAAUCCGGCGCUGAACUCUGACUUCUGUAACUCAAAAGUAUAUAUACAACUAUGUGCAGGUAUAUGGAAAAUCCAUGUAUAUGACAAACAUGUAUGUAUAGAUCUACCUAUAAUAUAUGUCAGAAAACAUAUACACAAAUGUCACAUACUUGUGUGUUUGAAUAUAUCUGUAACUCUAUUACUUCUGUACAUCUUCAAACUUGAUCUUUUGAACUACAACUAGCAAUUUAGUUUAAAAGCUAAUGUGUACAUAAUAGUUACAAUGUGUUAGGCAUAUGCUAAUAUGUGUCAAUUUAUUUAAAUCUCACUUCAACUUUAUCAAAAAGGUACAACUAUUGCCCUAAAAUUAGGGAAUAUAAGGCAGGAAAAAUAGGUGACUUGCUUAGGGCCAUGGGUUUGGAAAGAUGUAAAGUCAGGAUUCAAACUUAGGGGGUAUGGCUACAGAAUUGGAACUAUUUGCUAUUUGCUAUGCUGUCUCUAGGAACCAGCUCUGGAAUUCUGCCACACAGUUCCAAAUAACAUAUCAACACUAAGCAUUCUAGAAUGGCCAAUGGAUGGCAAGCCCAAGAUUUACUGGAACCAGAUCCAGUUCAAUUUCUGAUCACUCAAGCUAAUCAAAAGCUCAAGCAGGUACCCACAAUCGCUGAUGGGAAAAGGAUGGAAGAAGUAGAAAUAUCUCCGGCCUUGAUAGCCUCCUGGGCUCUGUUCCUCAUCACCUGUCUGCUCUGAAGAUUCUGCUCCCUCUAGUUUGUCAUUAAAUGUUGAAAUUCCAAAAGACUUACUAUAAAGUUUUCAUUUCUAUAUUCUUCCUGCUCUAUAAUCUCUAUAGAAACACCUCUACAGACAUGGCUUCUAAUACCUGCUUUAACUCCCAAAUGUGUAUCUGAAAUUCCAAGCUCCUUGAACUGAAAAUAAAAACUAUUUAUUCCAUAGCUCUACUUGAAAAAUCAGAAAUGUAUCUCCAACAAAAAAUAUUGAAUUAUUUUAGUUCCAAUGAAAAUCAAUUGGACUGAUUUGGAGAGUCUCCAUCUGUUCCAAAUUGUGUUGUGGGUACUACAGCUUCAGAGUACAUCGUCCAAACUCAUUCUGAAAAAAAAAAAAAAAAAAAGAUUUAUUUAUUUGAAGGUCAGAGUUACAGAAAGAGGAGAGGCAGAGAGAUUGAGAGAGAGAGAGAGAGAGGGAGGUCUUCCAUCCACUGGUUCACUCCCCAAUUGACCACAACGGCCAGAGCUGCGCUGAUCCAAAGAAGAGCUAUACCGAUCCGAAGCCAGGAGCCAGGAGCUUCUUCCAGGUCUCCCAUGUGGGUGCAGGGGCCCAAGGACUUGGGCCAUCCUCCACUGCUUUCCCAGGCCAUAGCAGAGAGCUGGAUUGGAAGUGGAGCAGCUAGGUGUCAAACCAGCAUUCAUAUGGGAUACCAGCACU